rnacentral:rRNA from 1 species
GACGAACGCUGGCGGCGUGCUUAACACAUGCAAGUCGAACGGAAAGGCCCUGCUUUUGUGGGGUGCUCGCGUGGCGCGCGGGUGAGUAACACGUGAGUAACCUGCCCUUGACUUUGGGAUAACUUCAGGAGACUGGGGAUACUACCGGCUAGGAGCUCCUGCUGCAUGGUGGGGGUUGGACAGUUUCGGCGGUUGGGGAUGGACUCGCGGCUUAUCAGCUUGUUGGUGGGGUAGUGGCUUACCAAGGCUUUGACGGGUAGCCGGCCUGAGAGGGUGACCGGCCACAUUGGGACUGAGAUACGGCCCAGACUCCUACGUGAGGCAGCAGUGGGGAAUAUUGCACAAUGGGCGGAAGCCUGAUGCAGCAACGCCGCGUGCGGGAUGACGGCCUUCGGGUUGUAAACCGCUUUCGCCUGUGACGAAGCGUGAUUGACGGUAAUGGGUAAAGAAGCACCGGCUAACUACGUG